AUAGGCGAGCCCGGCAGCGCUGGGUGACCCAGUCAGGAGUCAGCAGCAGCACCCGGCCCCUUCCUGCCCACCCAGGAGGAACAGGCUGACGUAUAAAACACAGACAAAGGGCUGCACUUCAACCUCAAUAUUUCUGCUACACAUCUCUUACACGUGGGAAAAUCACUGUGCUCUGCCUCCUUCAGACAUCCAGUAAGAGCUUGGAAGAUGGGUAUUGCUCUUCAAGGAGGCUGCAGACCGACUGGAAAGGGUCCAGAUUGCAGACCUAAAAGCUAAAUGGAUUUCCACCUACUCUGCAACCCCGGGGGAAAAGGAAGUUGAAUUUCUGGCUGGAGACAGCAGCUCACAGUGACCAGUCCCAAGGGAAAAGAUGAUAUCAGUGUUUCUGAGUUUCCAGUUAAUUGUGUUUACUGAAGAAUACAUAGCAUUAGAGUGCCUUGAGCUUUGGCCGAGUCUGUAAAAGUAAA